rnacentral:lncRNA from 1 species
GGACCCUCUAUGAGAGUGGCGGAGCAGGCGGGCUGCGUGGCAUUGUCGCCAGCAACACUCGAGACAACAACACGGGAGCCACCUACCCACACCUGAACUUCAGCAUCCCCAUCACGGUGCUCCAGCCAGCCCUGAAGCAGUACAGUCAGACUGGUGACCUGGGUGGCCUCCGAGAGCUGGACCACACCACUGAGCCGGUCAGGGUCGUGUGGCGGCUGCAGCGGCCCCUGUCCGAAGUCCCACGGAGCAAGCUCUGAAGCUACUGUGCCUCCCUGGGAGAAAGCGGACCACUUUAAGGCCACGGGAAGUGUAUUGGCAUGGCAACUUUGACAUCUAAGUCAUCUGCUGGGAUAGAGCCCAAGCCACCCCCUCAUCGUCUUCACCCACUGGCUAACCACGUGCAACUUCUGUAGGUCUCUGAUCUACUUUGGGGUGCUUUCUUGAGCCUGUCUCAUCUGUUUCCCAGGAUUAGACUCAGCAACGCCAUUGUUCCUUCUGGGGGUUCUAGUCCUUUGGCGGGUACCGGUUUGGCAUCUCUCAGCCUGAUAGCCCCUGGUCCACCCGAAGUGGCUCUUGCCUGAUACACUCUACUCAGAGAACUCUUCCUGGAAGCCCAGAGUCCUAGUGGUCAGUAACAAGAGUGUCUUCCCAUUGCCACAGUGAUACACAGGCAAAUCCCCGAGAGCCACCUGGGCCUUAACUCAGACACGGUGCCUUCAUUUUUGUAGCCCAGAGCAGUUGGAGCUGGGGAAUAAACAAUCUGAAUGGCUUGACCUCUU